rnacentral:misc_RNA from 1 species
AAUGCAGAUAAUGCUUCAAACCAGGUAGGAUUGCUUUUCAUUGUGGUUAUUUUAUCACUGAAAAGAAGUAUCUGAUAUCAAUGUCAGUAUGAGCUUCUGUGAAAAUUUUAAUAAUCAUUACCAUUUAUUAUGGAUAUACACUGUGAAUAGCUCUCCUCUUCUACUAAACAUGAUUAUGAUAUAUUGGCAACAUUUCAAUGCAUUCCAUAGUUUUUUUUAUUAGCUGGUUGACUUGCCAUGCAUGUUGUGUUGCUCAACUAUAACUUUAGCCUCUUAAUAAAUUUGUUAUGGGUGCUAUUUAAUUUGUGGAUUUUGGCAAAAUGUCAAAGAGAGAGAGAGAGAGAGA